AUAUUGGACAAUGGGGGCAACCCUGAUCCAGCCAUGCCGCGUGUGUGAAGAAGGUCUUCGGAUUGUAGAGCACUGUAAGUUGGGAGGAAGGGCUUUAGGCUAAUACCCUGAAGUUUUUACGUUACCAACAGAAUAAGCACUGGCUAACUCUGUGACAGCAGCCGCGGGAAUCCAGUGGGUCAAGCGUUAAUCGGAAUUACUGGGCGUAAAGCGGGCGUAGGUGGUUCAGUAAGAUGGGUGUGAAAUCCCCGGGCUUAACCUGGGAACUGCUUUCAUAACAGCUGAGCUAGAGUACGGUAGAGGGUAGUGGAAUUUCCUGUGUAGCGGUGAAAUGCGUAGAUAUAGGAAGGAACACCAGUGGCGAAGGCGACUACCUGGACUGAUACUGACACUGAGGUGCGAAAGCGUGGGGAGCAAAC
rnacentral:rRNA from 1 species